UAAUACGGAGGGUACUAGCGUUGUUCGGAAUUACUGGGCGUAAAGAGCGUGUAGGCGGUUUGGUCAGUCAGAUGUGAAAGCCCUGGGCUCAACCCAGGAAGUGCAUUUGAUACUGCCAUUCUUGAGUAUGGGAGAGGAGAGUGGAAUUCCCAGUGUAGAGGUGAAAUUCGUAGAUAUUGGGAGGAACACCCGUGGCGAAGGCGACUCUCUGGACCAAUACUGACGCUGAGACGCGAAGGCGUGGGGAGCAAACAGGAUUAGAUACCCUGGUAGUCCACGCCGUAAACGAUGAGAACUAGGUGCAGCGGGUAUUGACCCCUGCUGUGCCGGAAUUAACGCAUUAAGUUCUCCGCCUGGGGAGUACGGCCGCAAGGCUA
rnacentral:rRNA from 1 species